AGGAUGUACUUAAUAGAAAUAUUUAGCUUACAUUAUUUAAUAGAAAUCUCUGGUUCAUAAUCACUUUAUGAUUGUAUAAACAAAAUACAAAUGGUAAAUAAAUAUGUACUACUGAAAAAUUGUCAUGUUCUCCUUUUUUUCUAUCUUUUAUGAGUAGUUUUCUUUCUUAUCUAUCAAAUGUACAAAUCAAGUGAUUUCUGAUAUAGGUUGAUCUUUUGAUAGUUACACAUCUCUAACUCUCUCAUUUUGUCAAUCUAUUCAUCUGUGUUUCUUCUUAUUUUCAAUUUUAUUCUUGCGUCACCCAUGAUUAUGUUAGGGUUUUCGUAUUAUUUUGAUGAGAUUUAGAUGGUUGUUAGGAUUAUAAGGAUCUCGAAAUAAUAAAGAUGGUGCUAAUGUAACACUGGAAAAAUGAUUGAGUUGGUUUCCUUUAUAACAUACGGUCACAUUUUCAUUUUCUUGUAAUUAUUCUAUUUUCAUUUUUUCUUUUUCAUUUUCUUGUAAUUAUUCUUUUUUCUUUUUUUCUUUUUCAUUUUCUACUUAUAAUUAGUAUUUUAGCAUAUUUUUUAAUCUACAUAACUUAUGUUAAUUGUUUAAUUAUCAGAAUAUAGAAGAUGACAUUUUAUGUUCUUUAGGAUAUAAGUAUAUAUUUAAUAAAUUUUGAUGUUCAAUACAUAUCUUUCUAAACUAAUUAAUGUCAAGGUUUGUUACUCAUUACAUGUUUGAUUGAUUUAUAUAAUUGAGGUUGUACUUAAUAUAAAUAUUUACUUUACAAUACUUAAUAGAAAACUCUGGUUCAUAAUCACUUUAUGAUUGUAUAAACAAAAUAAAAAGGGUAAAAAAAUACGUACUGCUGAAAAAUUGUCAUAUUUUCCUUUUUUUUCUAUCUUUUAUGAGUAAUUUUCUUUCUUAUCUAUCAAAUGUACAAAUCAAGUGAUUUCUGAUAUAGGUUGAUCUUUUGAUGGUUACACAUCUCUAACUCUCUCAUUUUGUCAAUCCAUUCAUCUGUGUUUCCUCUUAUUUUAAAUUUUAUUCUUGCAUCACCAAUGAUUAUGAUAGGGUUUUUCGUAUUGUUUUGAUGAGAUUGAGAUGUUUGUUAGGAUUAUGAGGAUCUCACAAUAAUAAAGGUGGUGCUAAUGUAACACUGGAAACAUGAUUGAGUUGGUUUCCUUUAUAACAUACGGUCUCAUUUUCAUUUUCUUGUAAUUAUUCUAUUUUCUUUUUUUCUUUUUCAUUUUCUUGUAAUUAUUCUUUUUUCUUUAUUCCUUUUUCAUUUUUUACAUAUAAUUAGUAUUUUUGCAUAUUUUAAUCCAUAUAACUUAUGUUAAUUGUUUAAUUAUCAGAAUAUAGAAGAUGACGUGUUAUGUUCUUAAGCAUAUAAUUAUAUAUUUAAUUAAUUUUGAUGUUCAAUACAUAUCUUUCUAAACUAAUUAAUGUCAAGGUUUUUAACUCAUUACAUGUUUGAUUGAUUUAUAUAAUUAAAGAUGUACUUAAUAGAAAUAUUUAGCUUACAUUAUUUAAUACAAAUCUCUGGUUCAUAAUCACUUUAUGAUUGUAUAAACAAAAUACAAAUGGUAAAUAAAUAUGUACUGCAGAAAAAUUGUCAUAUUCUCCUUUUUUUCUAUCUUUUAUGAGUAAUUUUAUUUCUUAUCUAUCAAAUGUACAAAUCAAGUGAUUUCUGAUAUAGGUUGAUCUUUUGAUGGUUACACAUCUCUAACUCACUCAUUUUGUCACUCUAUUCAUCUGUGUUUCUUCUUAUUUUCAAUUUUAUUCUUGCGUCACCAAUGAUUAUGAUAGGGUUUUCGUAUUAUUUUGAUGAGAUUGAGAUGGUUGUUAGGAUUAUAAGGAUCUCAAAAUAAUAAAGAUGGUGCUAAUGUAACACUGGAAAAAUGAUUGAGUUGGUUUCCUUUAUAACAUACGGUCACAUUUUCAUUUUCUUGUAAUUAUUCUAUUUUCAUUUUUUCUUUUUCAUUUUCUUGUAAUUAUUCUUUUUUCUUUUUUUCUUUUUCAUUUUCUACUUAUAAUUAGUAUUUUAGCAUAUUUUUUAAUCUACAUAACUUAUGUUAAUUGUUUAAUUAUCAGAAUAUAGAAGAUGACAUUUUAUGUUCUUUAGGAUAUAAGUAUAUAUUUAAUAAAUUUUGAUGUUCAAUACAUAUCUUUCUAAACUAAUUAAUGUCAAGGUUUGUUACUCAUUACAUGUUUGAUUGAUUUAUAUAAUUGAGGUUGUACUUAAUAUAAAUAUUUACUUUACAAUACUUAAUAGAAAACUCUGGUUCAUAAUCACUUUAUGAUUGUAUAAACAAAAUAAAAAGGGUAAAAAAAUACGUACUGCUGAAAAUAUGUCAUAUUUUCCUUUUUUUUCUAUCUUUUAUGAGUAAUAUUCUUUCUUAUCUAUCAAAUGUAUAAAUCAAGUGAUUUCUGAUAUAGGUUGAUCUUUUGAUGGUUACACAUCUCUAACUCUCUCAUUUUGUCACUCUAUUCAUCUGUGUUUCUUCUUAUUUUCAAUUUUAUUCUUGCGUCACCAAUGAUUAUUAUAGGGUUUUCGUAUUAUUUUGAUGAGAUUGAGAUGGUUGUUAGGAUUAUAAGGAUCUCAAAAUAAUAAAGAUGUUGCUAAUGUAACACUGGAAAAAUGAUUGAGUUGGUUUCCUUUAUAACAUACAGUCACAUUUUCAUUUUCUUGUAAUUAUUCUAUUUUCAUUUUUUCUUUCUCAUUUUCUUGUAAUUAUUCUUUUUUCUUUUUUUCUUUUUCAUUUUCUACUUAUAAUUAGUAUUUUAGAAUAUUUUUAAAUCUACAUAACUUAUGUUAAUUGUUUAAUUAUCAGAAUAUAGAAGAUGACAUUUUAUGUUCUUUAGGAUAUAAGUAUAUAUUUAAUAAAUUUUGAUGUUCAAUACAU
rnacentral:lncRNA from 1 species